rnacentral:lncRNA from 1 species
UACCAUCUUUCAUUUCAUUUUCUUCAUGUGGCAUAGUGAAAUCUUCAUCAAAAUCUAAAAACCACAAAUACAAAACUGAAAAGGAAAAACCUAACUUCUUUUUUUUGUCAGCACCUAACUUCUUAAUUGGAAACUUAGAAUAUAAAACAUAAUCUAAAAACAUAAUUUAAAACUAAAAAAAAGAAAUAAACGUUAUUUAUUAGUUCACCUGGUGGUUCAACCGGUAUCGGGUUCCGGGUUUUAUUGAGUUUUUGCGGGUUUCUAAGUAUAAUUUUUCACAAUAUCCAAACCGAACUUUUUCUGGGUCACCGGUUUACUGGUUCAAUCGCGGAUCCGGAUCAGGUUUCAAAUGCAAGACAAGUUUUUUAAAACAAAUUUUAACAUCCACAUAUAAAUCGAACCAAACUAAAAUAUUGCCAA